rnacentral:rRNA from 1 species
UACGGAGGGUGCAAGCGUUAUCCGGAUUUACUGGGUUUAAAGGGUGCGUAGGUGGGUGAAUAAGUCAGCGGUGAAAUCUCCGGGCUUAACUCGGAAACUGCCAUUGAUACUAUUCGUCUUGAAUAUCCUGGAGGUGAGCGGAAUAUGUCAUGUAGCGGUGAAAUGCUUAGAUGUGACAUAGAACACCUAUUGCGAAGGCAGCUCGCUACACAAAUAUUGACUCUGAGGCACGAAAGCGUGGGGAUCAAACAGG